rnacentral:rRNA from 1 species
UACGGAGGUGGCAAGCGUUACUCGGAAUUAUUGGGUGUAAAGGGCAAGUAGGCGGCUUAGUAAGUGGGGGGUGAAAUACUUCGGCUCAAUCGGAGAACUGCCUUCCAAACUGCUAAGCUUGAGUGUGACAGAGGAAAAUGGAAUUCUCGGUGUAAGGGUGAAAUCUGUAGAUAUCGAGAAGAACACCAGCGGCGAAGGCGAUUUUCUGGGUCACUACUGACGCUAAAUUGCGAAAGCUAGGGGAGCAAACAGA